rnacentral:rRNA from 1 species
AGCAGCCGCGGUAAUUCCAGCUCCAAUAGCGUAUACUAAAGUUGUUGCAGUUAAAAAGCUCGUAGUUGAAUUUCGGGGUCAGCAGGUUGGUCGUGCCAAUGGUAUGCACUGGCCUUGCUGAUUCCUCCCUCUUGAUGAGCCGUAAUGCCAUUAAUUUGGUGUUGCGGGGAAUCAGGACUGUUACUUUGAAAAAAUUAGAGUGUUUAAAGCAGGCAAGCGCUUGAAUACAUUAGCAUGGAAUAAUGAAAUAGGACGUUCGAUCCUAUUUUGUUGGUUUCUAGGAUUGACGUAAUGAUUAAUAGGGAUAGUUGGGGGCAUUAGUAUUCAAUUGUCAGAGGUGAAAUUCUUGGAUUUAUUGAAGACUAACUACUGCGAAAGCAUUUGCCAAGGAUGUUUUCAUUAAUCAAGAACGAAAGUUAGGGGAUCGAAGACGAUCAGAUACCGUCGUAGUCUUAACCAUAAACUAUGCCGACUAGGGAUCGGAUGAUGUUAAUUUUUUAAUGACUCU